rnacentral:rRNA from 1 species
GACGUAGGGCGCGAGCGUUGUCCGGAUUUAUUGGGCGUAAAGAGCUCGUAGGCGACUCGUUGCGUCAAUCGUGAAAACCCGGGGCUUAACUUCGGGCUUGCGGGUUGAUACGGGCGGGCUGGAGUUCGGUAGGGGAGACUGGAAUUCCUGGUGUAGCGGUGAAAUGCGCAGAUAUCAGGAGGAACACCGGUGGCGAAGGCGGGUCUCUGGGCCGAUACUGACGCUGAGGAGCGAAAGCGUGGGGAGCGAACAGG